GGAGAUCUGUGGUGUGAGUAGGUCUGUGGUGUGAGGAGGGGGUCUGUGGUGUGAGGAGAUCUUUGGGCAGAGGAGGUCUGUGGUGUGAGGAGAUCUUUGGGGUAGAGGAGGUCUGUGGUGUAAGGGGGUCUGUGGUGUGAGGAGAUCUUUGGGCAGAGGAGGUCUGUGGUGUGAGGAGGUCUGUGGUGUGAGGAGAUCUUUGGGGUAGAGGAGGUCUGUGGUGUGAGGAGGUCUUUGGGGUAGAGGAGGUCUGUGGUGUGAGAAGGUCUGUGGUGUGAGGAGGUCGGUGGUGUGAGAAGGUCUGUGGUGUGAGAAGGUCUGUGGUGUGAGGAGGUCGGUGGUGUGAGAAGGUCUGUGGUGUGAGGAGAUCUUUGGGCAGAGGAGGUCUGUGGUGUGAGAAGGUCUGUGGUGUGAGGAGGUCGGUGGGGUAGGGAGCCAGUGAAGCGACUGAAGGAUGGGUAUGAUGAGGUUGUAUUGACGCACCCUCAUCAGGACCCUAGCGCUGCUGUUCUGGGAGUGUAGCAGUUUUUGUUGGCUCUCUUUCUAGGAGUCCCAAUGAGGUAAAUGAUACAAUAAAGGUGUGGACCCGUUGUUCUGCACGUGACAGACCGAGUGUGGGUGGAGUUUGGCAAUGUUACAGAGGUGGUAGAAGCAGGUCUUUCAGAUGAUUAAUGUCGGUGUCAAAAGUGAGAUGAGUGUCAAUUUUAAAGCCAGCUUGGUGGCUGUAGAUGACAGAGGUAUGUUUUGACCAGAGAAGGUGAUGUGUGUUAGGGAAGAUGACCCGGUGUGGUGAGCCAACUAAGAUAGCUUCUGUUUUUCAGCCAUUAAGUUGGAGAAAGUUCUCAGCCAUUCAUGUCAUUAUCUCCUCAAGGCAGGUGCUCAAUGAUGAUGAUGACAAUAACGAAGAUAACGACGUCGAUGAUUUGGGACUCUGGCCCUCCCAAGGAGACACAUUCUGUUCUCCCAGACAGGACUGAUGCUCCCUGGGCGCUACACAGUAGCAGUCCACUGCUCCCCAAGGGUGAUGGGUUAAAAGCAGAGAACGAAUGUCUUUGUAAUAUAUGUUUAAUGACAAUAAAGACAAUAUUAUUCCUAAUUUUAUUAUUAGGUACGACUGGAACGAGCUCAGGGCGGAGUCAGAGGCCGAUGGUGAGGUGCUGAAGGAGGACGAUGUGGUCGACUGUGUCAAACGCUGCAGAUCCAGAAAGCUGAGGUGUGAAGGUACGGCGGUGUGAGACGCCAUCAGCAGGUCUUUGGUGACUCUGACCAAAGGUGUUCCAGUGCUGUGGGCUGAACCAGAACCCGACUGGAGUUGAGAUGGUUCUGAAGAUAGGCAGCUUCCUCACUUCAUCACAGGAACCGUCACUGUGAGAUGAACUCUCCUGGCCUUCACUACACCUGAGGAGACAGAAGCCCUGGCUAACGUUCAUUAGUCGGCCAUUUUCUGCCUAAUCCUGGCAGCAGAGGAUACGACUCACUCUUCUCCUCACUGGACCGAGGUUCUCCACCCAUCUGACCCAAACUUCUUCUUCCACUGCUGUUCUACGGGCCUGGAGCAAUAUUCAGAGUCCACGAAGCUUCAGGAUCACGUUCCCCUCUAAGCCUAACCAGACUGGAUCUGUUUUAUCCGUCUAGAUGUUUAGAUGAAAUGUUUCUGGUGCCUCCAGGUCUCCCUGGUAAAGGAACUUCCUGGUAAAAUAAAGGUAAAAUAAAAAUGCAGAACCAAACAUCUGAAACUAUCGGACCUCAGAACCUGAACUUUACCACAGCUUUAAUAAAACACUUAAACAGGAA